GACGAACGCUGGCGGCGUGCUUAACACAUGCAAGUCGAACGGAAAGGCCCUGCUUUUGUGGGGUGCUCGAGUGGCGAACGGGUGAGUAACACGUGAGUAACCUGCCCUUGACUUUGGGAUAACUUCAGGAAACUGGGGCUAAUACCGGAUAGGAGCUCCUGCUGCAUGGUGGGGGUUGGAAAGUUUCGGCGGUUGGGGAUGGACUCGCGGCUUAUCAGCUUGUUGGUGGGGUAGUGGCUUACCAAGGCUUUGACGGGUAGCCGGCCUGAGAGGGUGACCGGCAACAUUGGGAUUGAGAUACGGCCCAGACCCCUACGGGAGGCAGCAGUGGGGAAUAUUGCACAAUGGGCGGAGGCCUAAUGCAGCAACGCCGCGUGCGGGAUGACGGCCUUCGGGUUUUAAACCGCUUUCGCCUGUGACGAAGCGUGAGUGACGGUAAUGGGUAAAGAAGCACCGGCUAACUACGUG
rnacentral:rRNA from 1 species